rnacentral:tRNA from 1 species
AAAAAGAUAAGCUAAGUCAAAGCUAGUAGGCCCAUAACCUAAAUAUAGAAUUAAUAAUCUUCUUUUUA